rnacentral:rRNA from 1 species
UGGUGGAGUGAUUUGUCUGGUUAAUUCCGUUAACGAACGAGACCUCAGCCUGCUGGUGUAGUCGGCCGUAUGCCCGUCGGGCCUACGCCCCGUCCGACUUCUUAGAGGGACUAUCGAUGUUGCAGUCGAUGGAAGUUUGAGGCAAUAACA